rnacentral:rRNA from 1 species
ACGCUGGCGGCGUGCCUAAUACAUGCAAGUCGAACGCACUGACGGAGAACUUGUUCUCUUGACGUGAGUGGCGCACGGGUGAGUAACACGUGGGAAACCUACCCUUCAGCGGGGGAUAACCAUCGGAAACGAUGACUAAUACCGCAUAGACGACAGAACCGCCUGGUUCAAUCGGGAAAGACGGCUUCGGCUGUCACUGAAGGAUGGUCCCGCGCUGCAUUAGCUAGUUGGUAAGGUAACGGCUUACCAAGGCGAUGAUGCAUAGCCGACCUGAGAGGGUGAUCGGCCACAUUGGGACUGAGGCACGGCCCAAACUCCUACGGGAGGCAGCAGUAGGGAAUCUUCCGCAAUGGACGCAAGUCUGACGGAGCAACGCCGCGUGUGUGAAGAAGGUUUUCGGAUCGUAAAGCACUGUUAUUAGAGAAGAACAGCCGAUAGGGUAACUGUUAUCGGUUUGACGGUAUCUAACCAGAAAGUGACGGCUAACUACGUGCCAGCGGCCGCGGUAAUACGUAGGUCACAAGCGUUGUCCGGAUUUAUUGGGCGUAAAGGGAGCGCAGGCGGUUUGUUAAGUCUGAUGUGAAAGCCCACGGCUCAACCGUGGAACGGCAUUGGAAACUGGCAAACUUGAGUAUAGAAGAGGAAAGUGGAAUUCCAUGUGUAGCGGUGAAAUGCGUAGAUAUAUGGAGGAACACCAGUGGCGAAGGCGACUUUCUGGUCUAUAACUGACGCUGAGGCUCGAAAGCGUGGGGAGCGAACAGGAUUAGAUACCCUGGUAGUCC